rnacentral:rRNA from 1 species
UACGUAGGGACCAAGCGUUGUUCGGAUUUACUGGGCGUAAAGGGCGCGUAGGCGGCCAUUCAAGUCACUUGUGAAAUCUCCGAGCUUAACUCGGAACGGUCAAGUGAUACUGUCUUGCUAGAGUGCAGAAGGGGCAAUCGGAAUUCUUGGUGUAGCGGUGAAAUGCGUAGAUAUCAAGAGGAACACCUGAGGUGAAGACGGGUUGCUGGGCUGACACUGACGCUAAGGCGCGAAAGCUAGGGUAGCAAACGGG